AAUUUGGACUGUCACGUAGGA
rnacentral:miRNA from 1 species